GGGCGACUGGCGGGCGGGAAGGGGCGGGAAGAGGAAGGGGGGAGGCGUGGUGCGGAUUUAUUGGGCGUAAAGAGCGUGAGGGGGGCCAAGCAGGUCAGCUGGGAAAACUCGAGGCUCAACCGCGAGAGGUCGGUGGAAACCGUGUGGCGAGAGUCCGGAAGAGGAGAGUGGAAUUCCCGGUGGAGCGGUGAAAUGCGCAGAUAUCGGGAAGAACACCCGUGGCGAAGGCGGCUCUCUGGGACGGUACUGACGCUGAGACGCGAAAGCGUGGGGAGCGAACAGGAUUAGAUACCCGGAGUC
rnacentral:rRNA from 1 species